rnacentral:tRNA from 1 species
CUCCUUGUGGUGUAGUUGGCUAUCACGUCGGGCUGUAAUUGAGAAAUUGUUCACCUGAAGGUCACCAGUUCAAUUCUGGUCGGGGAGA